UAGCAGUCGGCCAAUGUGAAGCUGCGCGAGAGAAAAAAACACGAGCAGUGACGACACCGUCAGCCUUAAACGGCUACGCAAAACGACACUGAUCCACGAAUUUACUGAAAAAGCGGCGUGUUGCUCUAUCAACUCUAUACGGUUUGAAACAUACAUACGUAAGCAUGGCGUUUCUUUGUUUGCUUAGAGUGCUUAUACAGAUACACAUAUAUAUAUAUAACACAACAUAAUAGCAAGUAGCUAAAAAAACUGACUGCUGAAAAAUGCUGUAUAUUCUUACCCGAGAAAACGUCCCGCUACGGAGAGCUUAUAAUGUAAGUUUUAAGAUCCAAAGACGAAGCGGUAACUGACCAUCCAGGAAGUACACUUGUGUCUCUA